UACGGGGGGAGCAAGCGUUGUUCGGAUUUACUGGGCGUAAAGGGCGCGUAGGCGGCCACCGCAAGUCAAUUGUGAAAUAUCCGGGCUUAACUCGGAAAGGUCAACUGAUACUGCGGGGCUAGAGUGCGGAAGGGGCAACUGGAAUUCUCGGUGUAGCGGUGAAAUGCGUAGAUAUCGAGAGGAACACCUGCGGCGAAGGCGGGUUGCUGGGCCGACACUGACGCUGAGGCGCGAAAGCCAGGGGAGCGAACGGG
rnacentral:rRNA from 1 species